AUGCUCCCAUGGAAUAACGUUGACUUCUCCACCAUCUCGGACUAUACUGGAUUUAUUAUUCGACGUGGAUUACUGCAUUUUCAGAAGUUUUCUUCUUUUCUGAUGAUUGAAGAACGACGAUGGACACGACAGUCGGAAGACGCUGUAGAGACCGGGAGGACCUUGUGUAAAUCACGGAGAGACGAAGACAGGAGACACGGACACUUGUUGAGUCCUUGGGAUGAGUCCUUGAACUGAACUGUGUCUGUGUUUUGUCCUGACGCCCUACUACGAACUUUCAUCCUCAUCCCCCAUCACACCUGCGGUGGCAAUCAGCUGGAAAAGAACUCUGUUGCAACUGCUACUCAAAACCAACUGAGUCAUGCAGUAUUGUCUGUGAUGUUGCUGUGCCAAGCAGAGGGAGGUGUCUGGACAGUUGACUUUCUUGAUUCUUUAAAUUUUUUGUCUGUUUUGGUUUGAUCUUGAGUAACCUAAUGAGUUUGUUAUUUCCUUUAUUAUAGUAGCCUACCUGGUUUACUUGUGCAUGUUUUGAAUUUACUUGUCUAUUGCCUUUUAUGCUUUCUUUCAUUGAUUUAGUUAAUUGUUAAUGUUUUACCAGUAGAUACACUGAAUUCUCAUUUUGUGGGUGAUCUUUAAACUAUGUUUAGUAUGAUCAAGAGGGAGGAAUGUAGAAUGUUGGUGUAUCUUAGUGUCUCUCUUUUGUUCACAUUUCUAGUCUAGGAACAGGCCAGGGCCUCUCAUACUGAUACAAGGUGUUAUCUCCAAUAUUCUGCCAUUGUUAUGUCUCAACAAGGUUGAACCGACCUGGUCCUCCGGGACAUAGCCAGGGCCAGAUACCUUAUCAAGGCUGAGAGUGCGUCUGUUCACGUGUUAUUCAUGUAUCCCCUUUUUGUAUAAUAAUCCCCCCAACCCUUUGGUUAGACGAAAAGAAGGUUCGACAGCCAAGGAACAAGUCAUCAAACGGCUCCUCAAUGGGUCCACUAUAGAUUAUUCAACCUAAGUCUGUAUCUCGCUGUAUUACAUCCUGGAAUAAACCAUCUAUUCAACCCUCUGAUCCAACCUGUCAAGUUGCUUUGAUUUAGACUUCAAGAAUUACUACUACGACUGAAAAUACACAACGCAGAGUCCGUCCGAACAAUUUAGAAAUAAGCUGAAAUCUAACACUCUGGAGGCCAAGCGAUUAAAAUAUUUAAUCGUGAUUAAUCGCAUUGAUGUCAUAGUUAACUCACGAGUAAUCGUGAUUAAUCGCAAAUCUUUUUUCUAUGCUAAAUAUCCCUUGAUUUCUUUGUCCCAUUAAUUGUUCUCAUUUUAAUGCUCUUAUCAACAUGGAGAAGUGCAUCGGCUUGCCUUUUGCAAAAGUUUUUUUAUUGAUAACAACAUUGGCAUAUUCUGAUCAAAACAGGACGAUACAAAAAAAAAGCCUAUAGUGCAAUUAAACGAUGAACAUACAUACCGCUUGUGAAUACAGAAUAACUAUUUCAUAUUAAAACCGACUUUAAAUGAGAUGAGAUUAAAUUAAUAGCUGAAUCCGCAUACUUCGCUCCUGGGGACUUCCGCGGAGAUGUUCCGCUCAGGCCAACCUCUUGGCAUCCGCAUCGCCUGAUUAUUGGCAUACAGCCGUAUGCGUCAUAUCCAUAACCAGUUCCUCCAGUCCAUAAUUAAACUCCCGGGAGCUUAAGUAUGCCUUCGCACGCACACCCCAGUUGGUGACUAGUAUAUAUAGAGCUCACCCAGACCACACAUAGACCAGAGUCUUCCUCCACCGAGCUUAGCCAAGGAUCUCUUAACACGUACAGAGGUCCAACUCCAGUAAAUCGACAUCAGUUUCAAAGGACCACCUAAUUACCAAAAAACAUCUGACGACGUCCACAGCAGCGCUUCAGAAGUACAAGAGUCAUUCCAUGGCUAGCACAGAGCCACCCAUGUGGACUGAUAACAAUCAGUCCACAUGGGAAAACAGUCCCUCCAGUCCAUACUUAAGCUCCCAAUCAACCAAUACCGAUUCUGGAAGAGACACAUUCUCAGACGCUUCUGGGAGCACAAACGAGUCGGCAAGGCAAAAUGUCUAUAAAAAAUGGUUGGAAAGCCUUGUCUCAACCAGAAUGCCGCUCAACCGCUGAUGAAGAGGGCCAAUAAUCAGGCGAUGCGGAUGCCAAGAGGUUGGCCUGAGCGGAACAUCUCCGCGGAAGUCCCCAGGAGCGAAGUAUGCGGAUUCAGCUAUUAAUUUAAUCUCAUCUCAUUUAAAGUCGGUUUUAAUAUGAAAUAGUUAUUCUGUAUUCACAAGCGGUAUGUAUGUUCAUCGUUUAAUUGCACUAUAGGCUCUUUUUUUGUAUCGUCCUGUUUUGAUCAGAAUAUGCCAAUGUUGUUAUCAAUAAAAAAAACUUUUGCAAAAGGCAAGCCGAUGCACUUCUCCAUGUUGAUAAGAGCAAUAGAAUGAGAACAAUUAAUGGGACAAAGAAAUCGAUAGUUAUGUUAUUAUAACUC
ensembl:lncRNA